AUUAUUUUUCCCUUGUUAGUCAUUUGAGGCAGAACUGAAGCAGAAUGUAAACAAAGUACAGGAGUUGAAAGACAAAUUGACAGAGCUGUUGGAGGAGAACCCAGAUACUCCUGAGGCCCCCAGAUGGAAACAGAUGUUGACAGAAAUAGAUUCUAAGUGGCAAGAACUCAAUCAAUUAACAAUUGAUAGACAACAAAAACUGGAAGAAUCCUCCAAUAAUCUAACCCAAUUCCAGACUGUAGAGGCCCAAUUGAAACAGUGGCUUGUGGAAAAAGAACUUAUGGUCAGUGUUCUUGGGCCCUUGUCAAUUGACCCAAAUAUGCUAAACACACAAAGGCAGCAGGUGCAGAUUUUGCUGCAAGAAUUUGCCACUCGGAAACCUCAAUAUGAACAGCUCACAGCAGCUGGUCAGGGCAUUCUGAGCAGGCCUGGAGAAGACCCUUCUUUACAUGGGAUUGUGAAAGAGCAACUGGCAGCUGUGACCCAAAAAUGGGAUAGCCUAACAGGGCAAUUGAGUGACAGAUGUGACUGGAUUGACCAAGCCAUUGUUAAAAGCACACAGUAUCAAAGCCUGCUGAGAAG
rnacentral:sRNA from 1 species